rnacentral:lncRNA from 1 species
AAGUUAGGGGCGCCGCGCGCCCCCGCCGGCCUCUUCCCGCCGCCUCGACCCCACAGCCUACUCUCCGCGCCGCCGCCUCACUGGGCCCGGCCCGCGCGUCGCCCCGCAGCCGCCGCGGCCACCAACCCCGGCGCGUCCGCCAUCUUUGUUUUCCCUGCGCGCCCCCCCGCGCCACCGCCCCCUCGUCCUCCCCAUCACGUGGGCUCCAAGCGGGGCCAAUGGGACCGCCGCCUGGAGCUAGACGGCACGGCGCCCAGAGCCAAUGGGUGCACGAAGCGCGUGAGGCCCGCCUCCUGUGGAAGGUGGGCCUGAGGGGCGGGGCCAGGACGACCCGUGGAGGGGCGCGCACCUGAGGUGAGGAAGCCCGCCUAGGGGCGAAAGAACGGCCCCUACACGCGGCAAGUCAGCGGGGUCGGGGGUCUCCCUUCGCCAUCGUGUCCCAACACUCGGGGUUGAAUGUGGCCUGGCUUUCCCGAGUGGAAGGGCACCAACUUUAAAGAGCCCGGCCGACCACCCGUCGUGUAUGGCAUAGGAUAUGCUUCUGCUGGACUCAUCGGAACUGCCCGGGGGAGGGGGCACACUUGGGACCUCUAACCCCCUGCUCUGUUCAACCCGGUUUCCUAUCCCUGGGGUUGGAGGCCGAAGAAGGGUCCACAGAGGAAAGUGAAGGUCUUAGGGAAUAGGAUUUUGCUCGCACAGACUGGAAGGCAAACAGGGAAGGGAGAUGCAUUUCUGCGAAUCGCUGCGGUACAGCCAGCCCUCCCUUGCCCUUACUAACCCAGCCAUCAGCCCGUGAAGGUCACUGCCCCAGAGGGCCACCUGCCAGGCUGGGCAACAAUAUCCGGAAUCUACUAUGUCAAAGGAGAGCAAGGGCUCUGGGGCUAUAUAUUCAAGGCACAGCAGCCCCUCCUGACAAAUGUGCCAGAAGGAGGCCAGACUGAAGGAAGCCCAUGCAUGUUCCAGCACAUCCCCUCUCUUUGUUCAGGGAAAACAGCUGAUGCCCUGGAGGCUUCAGGAAGCUCACCAAAGGCUCCUCAGUCCCUCUCAAGAAUUGGCAAAUUUCAUAUUCCUGUAGAAUUCCUAAGGUUUAUUGGAGAUCAAGUCUCUGAACCCACAACUAUGUCUUUCCCAGAAGGAGGCCCCCAAAAUGCCUGGGACCCUGGCCCUUUCAUUCUGGUCUAGGCAAGUUCCUACAGUGACUGGAGAAGAGACAGCACCUAAGCUCCAUUCCUGAUCAGUCAACCUGCAGCAAGCCCACUGUAGGAGGAGGGAAAGCCUAUUCCUAGGGGAGGAAGCUCCAGGAGCAGGCUGGUGGAAAGGAAGGUGGUAGCCAAGGGAGAAGCUCAGCCUUGCUGUGUGCAACUGUCAUUCCCACUGCAGGCGCUGUGUGUGCAGGGCCCGGCAAUAGGCCCAACUGCCUGCAGCCAGGGCCCAGCGACAGACAUCCUCCUUCGGCAGCAGCAGCAGCCUCUCCUCCUCCAGUCGGCUCAGGAGGCCUGCUACACCUAGCAUGGCACCCCCCCACAUCCCAUAAGUGUUGGCUGUGAAAAUAGCCACAAUGAGGAUGGUCACUGCGACCACCAGCAGUACUGCCUGACCAGCCACAGAGCAGCCUUCAGGGCCAAGGUGAUCACCAGCCACUGCCAGCACCAUGCCUCCGCCCAGGAGUAGGUUAGCAGAGGAGCGGUCCCCGUUCACCCAGUGGAAGUCGAAAGCCAGAAGGGGCAGGCCGAUGACUGUGGUCACCCAGGCUCCAGCGAGACAAUCUUCAUGUGUGCCCAGCCCUGGGACCAGCAUGGAGGCAGCAGCCAAAGCCUGGAGCAGGAAACCAGCAGCAGCCCCUCGACUUGACUGUUAGUGAAGGAAACAAGAGGGUAGGUGACCCCUUUAAACAGGAAAAGGUUUGGACUUCUCAUGGAGACCUGGUCCCACCUUCGCCUCCCAUCACCCUCUCUCUGGUGCAGCAAACUAGGAUUUUAGCGUGUGGGAGUGGGGUUACUUACCUGCGCAGAACUCACCGCUCCAUGAAGAGACACCAUUCCCAGCACCAGGUGGGACAGGACUGUGCUCCACUCACUCCCGGGCUUGGGGGCCAUGGCACUUGGGCAGUAAUGAGUUUGAGGAGACAGGAAAGAGAGUUUUAACUUGGAGUGGAGUAACAGAAGUCAGGGACCUGGAGCCCUAACGGCAGCUCUGCGGGAACCCCAGGUUCCAGGGUCCCAUGACUAGAUGAUAGAAUAGGUACAGUUCUAAAUUUGCCAGAGUCCCAAGGCCACUGGAAACACCUGUGCUAAAAGACUAAUUAGACUGGAAACAGCGGGAACAAAACUCGGGAGCUGGGCAGGGCGAGCAUGAGCUCAAGUAGGUGCAGGACGCGGGGGAGACCGAGCGGCGGGGCACGCAGGCCCUUGUGGCGGCCUGGGCCUAUCCCAGCACUCAGGGAAGCGCCGUCCUCGACACCCGGCCCGGAAGGACCCACGGCGCAGAUCUGUGGGCCGCCAGCCGUUCGCAGUUCUUGACGGCGGCGAGCCAGAGGCCCUGGCAGGUCCACAGCGGUCGGCCCCGCCGCCUCGGGUGGCCUCCGGAGGCCCAGGCGAGCGCGGCCGAGCGCCGCCACCAGCGAGAGGAGUCGAGGCUAGAGAGGCCGGGGCGGGGCCUGAGGGGGUCGGUCGAAGGCUCUAGGAGGACUCGAAGGCGCGAGGUCGGCACCAGCAUCAGGAGCUCGGCCUGGGCUAGUUUGUGGGCGCUGGCAUUUGGAAGGAGCUCGCCUAGCGGAGGGAUCUAGGCGGGGCUUGGGGUAGGGCGGGGCUUGGGAGGUAGGGUGGGGCGGGGCUGCAAGCGGAGCCUGGGCUUCGAGGGGCGGGGCUUCGAAAGAGGGCGGGCUGCAAGGGGUGGGGAGGUGGCGCACCUGGACGCGGAGUGCUUAGUAACGAACGAGUGGUAGGGGUCUCCGCGGAGGACGGGAGGGACUCCAAAAAGAGGUGAGGCUGCCGUGGGCGUUCUCAAUACUGACCGUCAGCGAAUUAAGAACUGGGCGGCGAGCGGCGGAGCCGUGAGCGGACGGACCUUGCGAGGUGCGGUAGCGGGAACGCCGGUUUCAGAGAACCCCCGACCACACGCCCGCCCCUCAGCCCGAGCCUUCUGCGCGCGGGAUCUGGGCCGUGGGGGCGGCCGCCGCGAGCAUGCGCAUGGGCAUUGCGGCGGGCGAGUCCGGAGUCCGGGCGCGGGGACACGGGACGCGGGGCGGCGAGUAGCGGGGUCCUCUGCCGCCCCGCGCGCCCAUGUACGCCUUCUACUCGCUUCUCAUCUACAUUUUCUACAGCCUUUUCCGCAGGGAUGGAGGUGCUACGGCGACCGCCGACCCUGGGGACCCCGCCCAGGUGAGCAGUGUGGGCCUGCCGCGCCGGUCGCCCCCCACCAGGAGAUGGGGUGGUGGUAGGCCUGCCCAGCUUACAUCCUCAGGACGCUGGCCCUGAGGGACGCGGCGGUGCAGAGGACCCUGCUCUUGGUCCGGGCAUUGGGAGCUUAGAUCUCGGCCCCAACCAUUCUGGCCCAGUUCCGGGAGGGAAGGAGCCCCACAGGCUGCCUGCCUCCUCCUCAGGGACGCCCCCUGCUCCCUUCCUAGAGAGUCCACUGCAAGCCCCGGGGUCGUCGUCGCCCCGAUCAGCUUACGCCAGAACUGUGGACCGAGCUGACAGGCCUGGCCGGUAAGUGCAGGCCAGAGUGCCUUGGGGUCCUGGAGGGAUCCUCGCUGUCUGAGGGAGGGAGGGAUUCCGUGACCUCAUUGGGAGGGAAAAGAGGCCCAGUCUGCAACGAUGACUUGAAAUGCCCCCUCCUUCUACUACUUGGCCUAGCGGGCAGCUCCGAGUCUGAGGAUGGGCCUGAAGCCGGAGCCGAGGACCGCCCAGCAGAGGUGUCACUGGAAGAGGCGCUUAUGCGCCUUGCUGAGUUCCUCUCGGUCCAGUUGGGGGCAGAAGAGAGCUGCGGGAAUCCUCCUGAGUUGGGCAAGGUGAGCAGGGCAGAGGAGCUCUCCAGCAAUCACUUCUCUUUCUUUAGCCCUUGUGACUCCCACAGUCCUGCCCCAUUCCAUCUCUGCUCUUAAUCUGCUUUCCUUAGUCCAGGGGACUGAAUUUAGGACUCUCCACAGAUUAGCUACAUCCCUGCUUUUUGUUUGUUUGUUUGUUUUGAGACAGGGUCUUGCUAAGCUGCCGAGGUGAGUUUCAAACUUGCCAUUCUGCCUCAGCCUUCCCAGUAUCUUGGAUUACAGAUGUGGGCCACCAUUCCAGGUUUCUUGCUCUGAUUCUUAUCUCCUCACAGCCUGGGGAGGUCCCUCCACUGUUGACAGUGACCAGUCAGCUCUUGGCUCUUCUGGCAUGGAUUCGGAGCCCCAGGGGGAGGCAGGUCCUGCUCCAGGGGACUCAUCCAGCCUCCAACGUGCAGCCCCCAACUCCAGAUGGUUUGUAAAGGGUAUCUUCUGUAGAGGAAGGGAAUCCCUUUAGAAUCUAGGUGGCGUACAAUCUGGGAUCCCUAGCCUAGCUUUGCUCCCCAGAAUUCAGGCCACCUCAGUACUAACUGAGCUCGCUCCUCUUUAGGAGCCCUUUCUCAAGAAGACAGCCCUUACCAGCCUACCCCUAUCCAAGAGGAGGUGCCAAGGGGUGAGGCCCAGGGGCAACAGUUGCCUCAAUUGGAGGAGGAGCAGAGAGCUUGGCAGAGGCUGGAACAGCUCAUCCUUGGACAGGUGAGGGGCCCAGAAGCAGCAGGGACUGGAGGGAGUGAGACACAAAAAAGGAGUUUCAUCCCACUCUUUUGCAGCUGGAAGAACUGAGGCAGCAGCUGGAGCAACAGGAGGAGGAGCUGGGCAGACUGCGCCUGGGAGUGGUGAGGCUGUUGGAGCAGGGGCUGGGAGAGGGCAAGAGGUUGCAGGAUUUUCAUAUGGUUCCUAAGUGCAGCUAUCUCUGCCAGGGGGCAACAGACUCAGAGAAAAGGGUUCAGCAUCUCACACUGGAGAAUGAGGCCCUGAAACAGAGCCUGAGCCUCACUCGGGACCUCCUGCUGCAUUGGGGCCCAGGCCCCCCCACCAGAGCCCCACAGGUAUCCUGCCUCUUUGUUGCUCCUCUUUGUAUACACCUGGCAUUAGCAACAGUGCCCAAGCCUCCUUAGGUCUUUGAGCUUGCUGAAGCAGUGGGAUUUAUCAGGGGGUCGUCUCUAAUAGGCAGGUCCUGGGGUGGUCUAUGCAGAGCAAGCCCAUCAGGGAGGCUGAUGCAUCUGGGAGAACCCCCACUUCAUAAUUCUCUCAGUGACCAAUUCUAGGAAAGUAGAGGGACUAGGGAAAGGAGUUCUGCCUGGAGUUGGGAGGCAUGGGUUUGUCUGUGCCUGCCACUCUUGACUUGUUUUUCUAUCUGUGAAAUGGAUCAUGGAAUGCCCCUCCCUGAGUUCACACCUGACUUGAUGGCCUACCUGGCUCCCAAUUCCUGCAGGAGGAGGCAGAGGCACUGUUGGAGCUCCAGGGCCGGCUUCAGGAGGCCCAGGACACCACAGAAGCCUUACGAGUCCAGGUGGGCUCGGGGCCCAGGGACAAGGAGGGCUGGGACACUGGGAAGGGGGCAUCUGGGAUAGGGCCUGGUAAGUGCCUGUUUCCUUAGUGACAGGGGUGGGGUUCGGUGGGGCAGCUGGGGGUGCAGGAGGUGCAGCUGCAGGGCCUUCGAGGGGCCCUUCAGCAGCUUCAGCAGGAGACGGAGCAGAACUGCAGACGGGAACUACAACAGGUGCAUGGGCAACUGGCAGGUAAGGUUUGGGAGCAUGUGGCUCAUGGAAGGCCCUGGGUUCUGGGCUUUCCCUCUCAACUAUUUUCCCACUUCAGGACUUCGGACCCGGAUGGCCAGCCUGCGCCAGGGCUGUGGUGACCUCAGAGGACUGGUCAGCACCUUUACCCAGAGCUGUCAGGGUUCGCUGAGUGAGGCCCAGGGCCAGGUCAGGAACCCUCUUCUCUUCACAUCAUCUGUCUGUCUGGGUAGCCUGUUCACUGUUCUUCCAGGGGAGUUCCUAUUAUUUCUGGAGCUUCCUGGCUCUAAGGAAUGCUCAUACUUGGGGGUCAGUUGUAGGCUUUUAGACUAGAAGAGCUUAUUUGUGACUUAUGAUCUCAUGUCUAUCCUGUGCAAACUGACAGUUGCUGAGAAGCCUAGAAGGAUAGAUAUGAUGUCCUUGUCAGGCCAACCAAAGGAUGUCCCCAGGGGACCAGAGCCACUGAAAGUUGUGAAUCACUGCAGCUGGGGGCUACAAGGGCUCUUUAUUGCUCCCAGCAUUCCACCCUGCUUGGAGACUCUGGGACACCUGUCUUUGUCAUCCUCAAAUCCAUGUUCCCUCAGGUAUCCUGGGCCCUGGGGGCAUUGUCAGCUGGAGGGGCUGGGACUCAGCUCCCUGAGGGGCAACAGGGGCCCCCAACUGGAUGCCCAGGGCGGCUGCUGGAGCUUAAGGGUAUGGCAAACUUGGGGAGCAGAGUGGCAGGGAGGGUAGGCUGGAGAGAGUGGAAGCUUUUUAUGCCUCAGUGGUGAAAAGGCAAUCUGCUGACCUGAUCCCCACUGCAGGGAAUAUUCGGGUGCUAUGUCGGCUGAGGCCAGGUACACCCUGCAGCCUGGUGAGUGUGGAGGCUGGACCAGGGGGCACAGUCACCACCUGCUAUCGAGGGCGCCAGCGUCGUUUCCACCUGGACUGGGUCUUCUCUCCAGAUGCCAGCCAGGAGGAGGUGACAGCCACCCUUGCACCUAUUCUGACCCUUCCUCAGAGUCUCCCAGAGUCCAGAAAAGGCUCCUUCCCCUUCCAGUCUGUCCACCUAUAGAAGGGAGGGUGAAUCAGUUUUAGCCUAAAAGGGAAGGGAGCAGCUAGAGGGUUGGGGAGUGGCAGCCCAGCUGGACACUAAGGAAAAUGAAUCUAUCUGAGGUUUACAGUUACUGCUCAUGUAGAACUGGCCACAGAGUACAGCUGGGUGCCACAGUGGUAGGAACAGUGCCAUGACCCACAAGUGAUGCCUCCUCUAAGGCUUCCAUGAGAGAUCAGUGCUCCUCCCUGGGGUCCAGGCUCUUCCCAGCUGGGAUUGCAUUAGCCCUCCUUGCUUUGUGGCCCUAAUGCAGGUUGGGGGCCAUGGGUGAGCAGGCCAGUGUCCAGCCCCAGCACUCCCCGACUCCCUUGCUCAGAUCCCAUUUUUUCUCCUCUUUUUUUUUUUCUGCCAGACACCAGUAGAAAAGCAGGGCUCAAGUCCCAGCCUGCCGUCACCUUUCUAAUACACGGUUUCCAUCUACAUAUAAACUUUGCUCCUGGAGCUUCUAUAACUAAAAUGGAGGCUCAGAGCUGGGAGAGGGUUAGGUAAGGGACAGGGCUGGCAGUGAUGCACACCCAGGUUGCCUGCUGGCCCGACAGGUCAUUGCACUGUGACCAAGAACCUCUCCUGUGUCUCUCAUUUCUGCACCACCACCUGCCGUGCCUCCUUUGCCCAAUCGUGGACUCUUAUCCCCCAUACUGGCAAUUUUAGAUUAUGGCUUCAUGGCCAUUAGCCAAGACUUUAAGCAGAGGUGACAGCCACCCAGUUACCAGCAACCUUCUACAGUGAAAGUUGGUUAUGUCAUUGCCCAAAAGGCCACUCUUUGUUGGUCAUGGUGGUGCACAUCUGUAAUACCAGCUACUCAGGAGGGUGAGGCAGGAGGAUUUUCAAGUUUAAGGUCAACUUGGACAACUUAGUGAGACCUUAUCUCAGAAUGAAAAAUAAUAAGAGCUGAGAUGUAGCUCAGCUCUCAGGUAGAGAAUCCCUGGGUUCAAUCCCCAAUACUACAAAAAUAAAGCAAAAAAUGAAAGCAACUAUUAUGUCUAUCCAUCUGCCCCUCAGUCACCUCUUUGCUCCCCUCAGGGCCAAGGUUCCAGUAGUCCUGGCUGGUUACUACCCUCCAUACCCCCAGAGCCUUUUCUGGUCUCAUCCUUCUCAUCCUUUGUGUGCCAAGUGCUGCUCUGGACUGCCUGGACACUGCCCACUAAGCCUCAAGACAGGUGCCAUAGAGAGGAACAACACAGAAGAGCCACAAAGAAUGAGUAAUUUGCUUCCAGUCACAUCUAGGGUUGGGACCAGGCAGUCAAGCUCCAGCACCUGGACCCUUGACCAGUGCUCCCCAGGACCACCUAAAUGGUCAUCAGGACUCCACAUUAUUUGCACAGGCUGUUCCCUUUUUGUCACGUCUCUUUCCUUCUUUGCCUCACCCAUUAUUGCAAAUACCACCUUUUCUAGGGAGGCAGAAGGUAUCUUCUGGGCAGCCCCCUGUGCUCCCCUGGAGGCGUUUCCCUAGCAAAUUGUGUUCUACACAAACUUUUUUCACUGUGCUUUCCACCUUUCAAGGUCCUAAACAGAGACCUUGGAAAGGGCUCAAGACACUUUUUCCACCUCUCCUUCAUUCAGGUCUUUGGAGAGCUGGAACCAGCUGUGCUGUCCUGCCUCCAAGGAUACAGUGUCUGCAUCUUCACCUAUGGCCAGACCGGGACUGGAAAGACAUACAGCAUGGAGGUGGGGUGGAGCUCACACGGGGGGGGGGGGGAGGCCUCAGAGGCUUGAAUGUGAGCCCAAUGGGGUAUUCCACACCACCUUCAGGGCCCACCUGAGGACCCAGGCAUAGCUCCCAGGGCGCUGCAGUCACUGUUCAGGGAAAUGGGGACUGGAGGGCAGCACCGUGUGACCCUCAGCAUGGUGGAGAUCUACAAUGAGGCAGUCAGGUCAGGGCUGUGCUGUAGGGGUGGUGGGCUACUAUUUGCCCUGGCCCAAGACUCCUGCUACCCUUAGAAUCCUGGAACCAAACUCUCCUGGUCUCCCCAGGGACCUCCUGGCCCCAGGACCUCCAGAGCGCCUAGCUGUGAGGCAGGGCCCAGCAGGACAGGGGGGAAUCCAAGUAGCUGGCCUCACCCACUGGGACGUGCCCAACCUGGAGACUUUGCACCAGGUAAAGAUGCCCUCUAAGGCCUCUCCUCUUGCUCCCAUCUGGGAUUGGGGACUGUGUACCAGCCGCGGCCUCAUCGCUCCUAACAGAUGUUGAGCCUGGGGAGAAGUAACCGGGCCACUGCCGCCACUUCCAUGAACCCACGCAGCUCCCGAUCCCAUGCUCUCGUUACACUGACGCUGUGUGCAGCUUCUCCACCGAGCGCCCCAGGCACUGCAGGUAGCAAACACUGCAAUGCCUGAGCUUUUGCAGGGUUUCCAGUGUGCCUGAAGCCUGGCCUCCCUUCAUGUAGGGCUUGCUCACCUUUGCAGGCACGCUGCACCUGGUGGACCUGGCGGGAUCUGAGCGUGCUUGGAAGGCGGGAGCUACUGGCACGCAGCGAGGAGAUCCCAACAGUGCCCAGCGUCUGCGGGAGGCCCAGACUAUCAACCGCUCGCUGCUGGCGCUGGGAGGCGUGAUGGCUGCGUUGCGUGCCCGCCGGUCCCACGUGCCCUUCCGCGACUCGCAGCUCACACGUCUGUUGCAGCCUGCGCUUGGUCCGGGUACCACUGCUGUGCUGCUUCUACAGGUGUGCGCCCCGGCAGCAGCGGGUGGAGUGCAGGAGGGUCCUUUGUGUGUGAAGCACCGCAGGCUGGCCCACAAGCACUUUUCCUCCUCAGAUCUCUACGCGGCCAGAGGAUCUCGGGGAGACCGUCUGUUCGCUCAAGUUUGCGGAGCGAGUGGGUCAGGUGGAGCUGGGACCAGCACGGCGCCGCAAGGCACCACGCUCCGAGACCCCAUCCUCCCUCAGUACCGACACCCCACUUACUGGGACCCCCUGCACUCCUACGAGGUCUCCUGUCAGCCCUCCAAGCCCCAGCCCUGACAGCGGCUCAUGCUCUGCCCUAGGGCCCUCAGGGGACCUUCCCCCCUAGUCUUGGGUGGAGGCCCUGCACAAGAGACCUGGGGAUAUAACUCUGCUGGCAGAGGCAGCAGUACAGUUCUUAUAUCGGGUCUCCCAAGACAAUCUUCUUGACUUCUGGGGGCCUACUUCUCUCCAAACUUCCAGAGUUGCUCCCCACAACCCCAGCCAGAGAAGAGCCUGGAGAAUUGAUUUUGCCCCACCCCACUGAGUCAGAGGCCCUCAGCUCCCUCCUUAUCACCAUUUGCCGUUAUCACAGCACACAGCAGGGGAUCCCAGAGCCACAGGAACCAGACAUGACUCUGGCCAAGGAGUUUCCCAGGUCACCACCUCUGCUCCAAAAAUAAGACUAGGCAUUAAAAUGCUGUAAAUUCUUUUAAUGUUACACCACUACCACCACUUCAAGUCUAUGUAGGGUCCAGUUUUUAUUCCCUAACCCUUUCCCCAAAAGGUGCUACCUCCUCAGACAGUUGAGGGAUGGCAGGACUUCAGGCUGGACCCACCAUUAAGGAGCUCCCUCCCCCAGCCUGGAGCCAGGAGGGAGGUGACAGAUGGUGAUGGAUGAAUAGAUAGAUGGGCUAGGCCUGAAGAUAGAAUCAUGAUUUGCUACUCCAGGUUGAGUCCUGCUCCUUUAGCAUUGCCCCUGGGUGUAGGGGGAGGCAGAGAGGCAAGACUGACCAAGCCCAGGUUGGUGCCCAGCUGAGUGGCAGCUUUUUCUGGAGCAGCCCAAUAAACAUUGUGGACUCUCAUUAAGCAAGGCUGGAGCCUAUUGGGGCUACAGACAUCUUCCUACCUUGGUUCCCCAUCAAGGAGAUGGGGAGAGAAGCAACCCCUGCUCUAGAAAGCUUCAGAGGCUGUACCAGGAAAGCAGCCAGCCUGGAGCAGGGGCAGCCAUGUCACGAGGGUGGCUGACCCACACAUCAUAGAUGCUCUUGUUGGGUGGUACUCCCUGGAAGAGAGUGUCUAGAUCCCAGAGCAGCCUUGGGGACCCUUGGGAUUCAGAGGCCACCCCCCAGUAGGCUGGGCUGGUUGAAGGUGGACACUGGGGACAGGAAGUGGAUGGUAGUGGGGCUAAAGGCAUUACCACAUUGGGUGUGUAGAUGGGCAAGUAGGAGGUGGGCAACUGUCCCCACAGGGAGGCCCUGCAUCCCCCACUGGACAGUACCCC